rnacentral:RNase_P_RNA from 1 species
GAAGUCGGCCAGACCGCCGCUGGUGCAAGCAUCGAAAGGUGGCACUGGAGGAAGGUCCGGACUGCAUAGAGCAGCGUAGCGGGUAAUGCCCGUCCACCGCGAGGUGCGAAUCAGAGCCACAGAGACGAGCCGGUUCAGUCCGGAGUGAAACGCGGCAAUCUUUACGCGCAGCAACACCAAAUAGGCCAGCAUUGAAGCGGCUCGCUGAGCUGGCGGGUAGGUGGCAUCGAGCAGGGGUGGCAACAUCCCAGCCCAGAGGAAUGGCGGUCACGGCCCUGGCAGCGCAAGUUGCCCGGGUCGCACAGAAUCCGGCCUAUCGGCUGACUUCACAC